rnacentral:rRNA from 1 species
AGUGAACGCUGGCGGUAGGCCUAACACAUGCAAGUCGAACGGCAGCACAGUAAGAGCUUGCUCUUACGGGUGGCGAGUGGCGGGCGGGUGAGGAAUACAUCGGAAUCUACUUUUUCGUGGGGGAUAACGUAGGGAAACUUACGCUAAUACCGCAUACGACCUACGGGUGAAAGCAGGGGAUCUUCGGACCUUGCGCGAUUGAAUGAGCCGAUGUCGGAUUAGCUAGUUGGCGGGGUAAAGGCCCACCAAGGCGACGAUCCGUAGCUGGUCUGAGAGGAUGAUCAGCCACACUGGAACUGAGAUACGGUCCAGACUCCUACGGGAGGCAGCAGUGGGGAAUAUUGGACAAUGGGCGCAAGCCUGAUCCAGCCAUACCGCGUGGGUGAAGAAGGCCUUCGGGUUGUAAAGCCCUUUUGUUGGGAAAGAAAAGCAGCAGGUUAAUACCCCGCUGUUCUGACGGUACCCAAAGAAUAAGCACCGGCUAACUUCGUG